rnacentral:rRNA from 1 species
UAGCUUGCUACUUGCUGACGACCGGCGCACGGGUGCGUAACGCGUAUGAAACCUACCUAAUACAGGGAGAUAGCCCAGAGAAAUUUGGAUUAAUACCCCAUGGUACUGUUUUACUGCAUGGUAAAAUAGUUAAAGAUUUAUCGGUAUUAGAUGGUCAUGCGUUCUAUUAGUUAGUUGGUAAGGUAACGGCUUACCAAGACCGCGAUAGAUAGGGGCCCUGAGAGGGGGAUCCCCCACACUGGUACUGAGACACGGACCAGACUCCUACGGGAGGCAGCAGUGAGGAAUAUUGGACAAUGGAGGAGACUCUGAUCCAGCCAUGCCGCGUGUAGGAAGACUGCCCUAUGGGUUGUAAACUACUUUUAUAGAGGAAGAAACGCAGAUACGUGUAUUUGUUUGACGGUACUCUACGAAUAAGGAUCGGCUAACUCCGUGCCAGCAGCCGCGGUAAUACGGAGGAUCCAAGCGUUAUCCGGAAUCAUUGGGUUUAAAGGGUCCGCAGGCGGUUGUUUAAGUCAGAGGUGAAAGUUUGCAGCUCAACUGUAAAAUUGCCUUUGAUACUGAAUGACUUGAGUUAUAAUGAAGUGGUUAGAAUAUGUAGUGUAGCGGUGAAAUGCAUAGAUAUUACAUAGAAUACCGAUUGCGAAGGCAGAUCACUAAUUAUAUACUGACGCUGAGGGACGAAAGCGUGGGGAGCGAACAGGAUUAGAUACCCUGGUAGUCCACGCCGUAAACGAUGGUUACUAGCUGUUUGGACUUCGGUCUGAGUGGCUAAGCGAAAGUGAUAAGUAACCCACCUGGGGAGUACGAUCGCAAGAUUGAAACUCAAAGGAAUUGACGGGGGCCCGCACAAGCGGUGGAGCAUGUGGUUUAAUUCGAUGAUACGCGAGGAACCUUACCAGGGCUUAAAUGUAGAGUGACAGGGGUAGAGAUACCUUUUUCUUCGGACACUUUACAAGGUGCUGCAUGGUUGUCGUCAGCUCGUGCCGUGAGGUGUCAGGUUAAGUCCUAU